GACGAAGGGUGCGAGCGUUGUUCGGAAUUAUUGGGCGUAAAGCGCGUGUAGGCUGUUUUAUAAGUCUGAUGUGAAAGCCCCGGGCUCAACCUGGGAAGUGCAUUGGAUACUGUAAGACUUGAGUACAGGAGAGGGCAGUGGAAUUCCUAGUGUAGGAGUGAAAUCCGUAGAUAUUAGGAGGAACACCGGUGGCGAAGGCGGCUGCCUGGACCGAUACUGACGCUGAGACGCGAAAGCGUGGGGAGCAAACAGG
rnacentral:rRNA from 1 species